GACGAACGCUGGCGGCGUGCUUAACACAUGCAAGUCGAGCGGUAAGGCCCUUUCGGGGGUACACGAGCGGCGAACGGGUGAGUAACACGUGGGUGACCUGCCCUCAGCUCUGGGAUAAGCCCGGGAAACUGGGUCUAAUACCGGAUAUGACUCCAUGACGCAUGUUGUGGGGUGGAAAGCCUUGUGCGGCUGAGGAUGGGCCCGCGGCCUAUCAGCUUGUUGGUGGGGUGAUGGCCUACCAAGGCGACGACGGGUAGCCGCCUGAGAGGCGACCGCCACACUGGGACUGAGAUACGGCCCAGACUCCUACGGGAGGCAGCAGUGGGGAAUCUUGCGCAAUGGGCGAAAGCCUGACGCAGCGACGCCGCGUGAGGGAUGACGGCCU
rnacentral:rRNA from 1 species